UUUGGCCCAGAUCGUUUACCGUGAAAAAAUUAGAGUGUUCAAAGCGGGCAGAUAUUUUUCCUGCCACCGAAUACAUUAGCAUGGGAUAAUGGAAUAGGACCCUGACCUCCUAUUUUCAGUUGGUUUUGUUUACAGCGAGGUUAUAUCAGGGUAAUGAUUAAUAGGGAUAGUUGGGGGCAUUAAUAUUUAAUUGUCAGAGGUGAAAUUCUUGGAUUUAUGAAAGAUUAACUUCUGCGAAAGCGUUUGCCAAGGAUGUUUUCAUUAAUCAAGAACGAAAGUUAGGGGAUCGAAGACGAUCAGAUACCGUCGUAGUCUUAACCAUAAACGAUGCCGACCAGCGAUUAGGAGACGUUGAAUACAAAACACCGCUGUUAAUCCUUUCGGGGGUUAAUAGUUGGUGAAUGACUCCCUAGCAGCUUGUGAGAA
rnacentral:rRNA from 1 species